rnacentral:rRNA from 1 species
UACGGAAGGUGCAAGCGUUGUUCGGAAUGACUGGGCGUAAAGCGCACGUAGGCGGUCUCGCAAGUCGAAUGUGAAAGCCCCGGGCUUAACCUGGGAACUGCAUCCGAAACUGCUUGACUUGAAUGCUUGAGAGGUUGGUGGAAUUCCAGGUGUAGGAGUGAAAUCCGUAGAUAUCUGGAGGAACAUCGGAGGCGAAGGCGGCCAACUGGCAAUGCAUUGACGCUGAGGUGCGAAAGCGCGGGGAGCAAACAGG